rnacentral:rRNA from 1 species
UACGUAGGGGGCUAGCGUUGUCCGGAAUCAUUGGGCGUAAAGCGCGCGUAGGCGGCCAGAUAAGUCCGGUGUGAAAGUCAAAGGCUCAACCUUUGAAUGCCGCUGGAAACUGUCUGGCUUGAGUCCGGAAGGGGCGAGUGGAAUUCCUGGUGUAGCGGUGAAAUGCGCAGAUAUCAGGAGGAACACCGGUGGCGAAGGCGGGUCUCUGGGCCGAUAUUGACGCUGAGGAGCGAAAGCGUGGGGAGCAAACAGG